GACGAACGCUGGCGGCGUGCCUAAUACAUGCAAGUAGGACGCAGUUGCGAACGGGUGAGUAACGCGUAGGUAACUACCUAUUAGAGGGGGAUAACUAUUGGAAACGAUAGCUAAUACCGCAUACUAGUAGAUGUACCUGCUGUGUAUUAGCUAGUAGGUAGGGUAAUGGCCUACCUAGGCAACGAUACAUAGCCGAGCUGGAAGGGUGAUCGGCCAAACUGGGAAUGAGGAAAGGCCCAGAAUCCUAAGGGAGGCAGCAGUAGGGAAUCUUCGGAAAAGGGGGGAACCCUGACCGAGCAACGCCGGGUGGGUGAAGAAGGUUUUCGGAUCGUAAAGCUCUGUUGUUAAGGAAGCGGUACUUAACCAGAAAGGGACGGCUAACUACGUGCCAGCAGCCGCGGUAAUUC
rnacentral:rRNA from 1 species